AUUGAGCGCUGGCGGAAUGCUUUACACAUGCAAGUCGAACGGCAGCACGGACUUCGGUCUGGUGGCGAGUGGCGAACGGGUGAGUAAUGUAUCGGAACGUGCCCAGUCGUGGGGGAUAACGUAGUGAAAAUUACGCUAAUACCGCAUACGAUCUAUGGAUGAAAGCGGGGGAUCGCAAGACCUCGCGCGAUUGGAGCGGCCGAUAUCAGAUUAGGUAGUUGGUGGGGUAAAGGCCCACCAAGCCAACGAUCUGUAGCUGGUCUGAGAGGACGACCAGCCAAGAUGGAACUGAGACACGGGCCAGAGUCGUACGGGAGGCAGCAGUGGGGAAUUUUGGACAAGGGGCGAAAGCCUGAUCCAGCCAUUCCGCGUGCAGGAUGAAGGCCCUCGGGUUGUAAACUGCUUUUGUACAGAACGAAAAGGUUUCUACUAAUACUAGGAGCUCAUGACGGUACUGUAAGAAUAAGCACCGGCUAACUACGUGCCAGCCGCCGCCGUAA
rnacentral:rRNA from 1 species